AAAAAAUAUAAGAAAAUGAAAGACUAGAAAUUCACCUUCCAAAGAAAGAUUGAACUUUUUGAUUUCCAAACUUCCUUUUGAUUACCCUUAAGUUUAGGAAGUGUAUUCUCAAUCCUCAAUUUAAAACUAGAAUGGAACUCUAGGUAUGUAUGGUGGAAAAGUGGCUACCUCUCUUAUUUUUUAUCACUUUCAACAACUAAACACUAUUUCUUAUGAUCAUGGCAAUUGAUCUUUGCCUAUAUCAGAAUUUUUGGAGUGGUUUUGGUGUAUGGAAAUGAGGAAUUUCAGUAGCUAUGGAAGGUAUGGGGUGUAUUUGGAAGUUAUGAAUAUUUUUUGCUCAAAAACUCAAUUUUUCUCUCUUUUUUCACCAUUUUCUCAUUAUUUUCUCUUCAAUUUCGUGGUCCUCUCUCUCUUACAAUAUGAUCAUUCUAUAUAGACAAUGAGGGAGAGUAAAGGUCAAAAGAAGGUGCGAGACAAGGUGGGAGACAAGAAUGUAAUAGAAGAGCAAAUUUUCAAGAAACCCUAGCGUUGAAACUCUCGUCUCCAACAACAACAAUCACCAUCAAUGUUGGAUCUGCCAUCAUCGCUCCACCGCUGCCCAUCGCGCAGCACCUCCUUCUGCCACAGAACCACCACCUUAGUGCCGGCGAUGGCAGAUCUUGAAGGACGACCAAACCCUAGAGAGCUACAGCUUUCAUAUGAUACUUUCCAACUAUCAAUGCCGACUCUAAAAAUCAACAUCUUUGGUGGGUUUUAUUGAGUUUUGUCUCAUACGAACUUGACAAGUAAAGGUUGGUACUUUGAAUUUUCUUUGUAUGUGUUUCUUCGAACUUCUUGUUGGGUAAAUGAACAAACUCAGGCGAAGAUUACAUAGUUAAAGACUAUUUUUUGAAUUUUUUUAUUGUAUUAUUUGUGUUCAAUGUGCCCAAAGACUAUCUAUUCAUCCUUUCCUGAAUUUAAGUUUACAACAAGAAAAUUGAAAAUCUGAGAUUGGUGGGUUAGCAAAUCUAAGUGAAAAAUCAAAAAACAGAUUUGGUGUUGGUGAAAUUCUACCAAUAAAGAUUUUGAGUAUUUUGUCAUUAGAAGAUCUGGGAAGUGAAAAUUUGUAGUUUAGGGUAAGAAAUUAACAAGUGUGAGAUUGAGGGAACAAAACCACAUCAAAAUUAGAGAUGGGCUGUCAUUAAAAUCUUAUAUAGUCAAGAAGAUUUCAAGAUUUGUGAGGUAGGGAGAUGCAAAACCCAUAUAAAAAAACAGAGGUGGAUUGUUUUUAAUCAGGCCAGCAUUGUGAAUUUGUGAGUUUGAGAGUUUCAAAAUCUAUACAAAAUCCAAGGUGGGUUGAUUUCAGAAGGUAUAGCAGUUGAGUGAAUUCUUACAACUAGUAGAAAUCACAUCUUUAAAAUUAAAAAAUACCCUUGACAAGUUAGACUAUAGUGGGCAAGGUUUUGUUUGAAGCACAAGCUUAUUCUUUUGUUGACAGGUUAGUGCGUUAACUUUAAUGUGGUCGUUCUAUUUGUUGAUGAGUACAAUACUUUAUAGACCAAACAACACCAUAAGGGGCGAACCCUGAACAAUACCAAGCAAAAACUAUACAUCACAGUUGGGAUUACUUAAUAAAUUUGCUGACCAUUAUUUUUUUUAUUAGAUUUAUUGAUCAUUAUUAAAAUGCUUUAGAAUGUUAUAAAUUUUGAUUUUGUGAUGAUGAAUUCUAUGAUAUUUGGGGUAUUUGAUAUCUAUUUGAUAUAUUAGAAGCAAGAAAUACAUACAAAUAGAGUUUCUAUAGCAUUAGAAUUUUUUAACUUGGCCAAUUCUUUUCAAUCCAUUGAAAUUGUACUUCAACCGUCUCAUAAUUCCUUUCAAUACUCAUCAAAAGAAUUGUUGAUAUUAUGUGAUAACAAUCUUUGAGUAUAGGGACAAGAAUCAAAGGAGCUACGAAAUCAACAGCUGUAGAGGAACAGGUUGUAGCUUGCUGAUAACAACUACUUAGUAGUGCUUGCAAAAGUCUUGGUGGUUUUUGUGUAUAAGUGUUUGCAUUAGCAGAGCUUGAAGCAAGAAUCGAUGGAAUGGGUCAUAUGGCCACCCAAGGUUGCUUGAUCUGAGAAGGGCUGAAUCUACAAAGCAUGUAGGUGAUUUGAUCGGAACUGAAUUGGUCCUCAAAAUUGUUCCGAACUAGACUAAGUUAAUGGCGUCAACUUUGUACUCUAACCCAGUACGAAUUCUUAUCUCUAUCUCAUAAAUUUGAUUCAAUUAUUUUAUUUCUCGCAUUUGAUUUGUUAUUGUUUUAAUUGAUAUUCGGUGAUUUAACAUACAUAAAUCUGUAUAUUUUGAUCAAAGCGUUUUGUUCUAUUUGACUAUGAUUCUGUUUUUGAGAUACAAAAGUUUCUUUUGGUUUUAACUGAAUUAGACUUUGUAAGUUUCCUAAUUUGGCAAUUAUCAAGUAAACACUCUCCCACUCUUCGUUUCUCUUACUGUUGCUUGUAGGCACUUUCUGUGGAGAUUUAAGCCUUUAUGCUAUGUUUCGUGAACUAGAAUGGAAUACUUAUUCAAUCAUAAUGUUGAUUUAAGCAUUAGACGCUCUCCUUCCAUUUGUGUAAAAUCUAGAGAUUGCAACCUGGUCUCUUUGAUUAGAUGACUAAAUUUGAUGCUGUUAAGACUAACAGGUUUGUACUCUUAGCAUAGUUGACAUUUUAAUAACUCUUCUUCAGUUCCAAUACUAUUUUAGAG